rnacentral:rRNA from 1 species
GUCAAGUCAUCAUGGCCCUUAUGUCCAGGGCGACACACGUGCUACAAUGGCCGGUACAAAGGGAAGCAAAUAUGCGAGUAUGAGCGGAUCCCCAAAAGCCGGUCUCAGUUCGGAUUGAAGUCUGCAAUUCGACUUCAUGAAGCUGGAAUCGCUAGUAAUCGCAGAUCAGCCAAGCUGCGGUGAAUACGUUCCCGGGCCUU